rnacentral:rRNA from 1 species
UUAAGCAUAUCAAUAAGCGGAGGAAAAGAAACCAACAGGGAUUGCCCUAGUAACGGCGAGUGAAGCGGCAACAGCUCAAAUUUGAAAUCUGGCUCUCGGGCCCGAGUUGUAAUUUGUAGAGGAUGCUUUUGAUGCGGUGCCUUCCGAGUUCCCUGGAACGGGACGCCAUAGAGGGUGAGAGCCCCGUCUGGUUGGAUGCCAAAUCUCUGUAAAGCUCCUUCGACGAGUCGAGUAGUUUGGGAAUGCUGCUCUAAAUGGGAGGUAUAUGUCUUCUAAAGCUAAAUACCGGCCAGAGACCGAUAGCGCACAAGUAGAGUGAUCGAAAGAUGAAAAGCACUUUGAAAAGAGAGUUAAAAAGUACGUGAAAUUGUUGAAAGGGAAGCGUUUAUGACCAGACUUGGGCUUGGUUAAUCAUCUGGGGUUCUCCCCAGUGCACUUUUCCAGUCCAGGCCAGCAUCAGUUUUCGCCGGGGGAUAAAGGCUUCGGGAAUGUGGCUCCCUCCGGGGAGUGUUAUAGCCCGUUGCGUAAUACCCUGGCGGGGACUGAGGUUCGCGCAUCUGCAAGGAUGCUGGCGUAAUGGUCAUCAACGACCCGUCUUGAAACACGGACCAAGGAGUCGUCUUCGUAUGCGAGUGUUCGGGUGUCAAACCCCUACGCGUAAUGAAAGUGAACGCAGGUGAGAGCUUCGGCGCAUCAUCGACCGAUCCUGAUGUUCUCGGAUGGAUUUGAGUAAGAGCAUACGGGGCCGGACCCGAAAGAAGGUGAACUAUGCCUGUGUAGGGUGAAGCCAGAGGAA